rnacentral:rRNA from 1 species
AAAAACUCCGGUGGUAUACGAUGGAUCCGCGUCUGAUUAGCUUGUUGGCGGGGUAAAGGCCCACCAAGGCGACGAUCAGUAGCCGGCCUGAGAGGGUGAACGGCCACAUUGGGACUGAGACACGGCCCAAACUCCUACGGGAGGCAGCAGUGGGGAAUAUUGCACAAUGGGGGAAACCCUGAUGCAGCGACGCCGCGUGAGUGAAGAAGUAUUUCGGUACGUAAAGCUCUAUCAGCAGGGAAGAAAAUGACGGUACCUGACUAAGAAGCCCCGGCUAACUACGUGCCAGCAGCCGCGGUAAUACGUAGGGGGCAAGCGUUAUCCGGAUUUACUGGGUGUAAAGGGAGCGUAGACGGCAGCGCAAGUCUGAAGUGAAAUCCCAUGGCUUAACCAUGGAACUGCUUUGGAAACUGUGCAGCUGGAGUGCAGGAGAGGUAAGCGGAAUUCCUAGUGUAGCGGUGAAAUGCGUAGAUAUUAGGAGGAACACCAGUGGCGAAGGCGGCUUACUGGACUGCAACUGACGUUGAGGCUCGAAAGCGUGGGGAGCAAACAGGAUUAGAUACCCUGGUAGUCCACGCUGUAAACGAUGAUUACUAGGUGUUGGGGGACCAAGGUCCUUCG